AGCUCAGCACAACAACCUCCUGUGGGACAGUCACUCAAGUCAGAGAAGACUCUAAGCUGAAAUCACUGCAGCCAUGCUGAAGGUAGCACUUAUUCUUGGAUGCCUCCUGAGCCUCAUUGUGGCUGAACCAAUGGAGGACCAGCGAUUUGCUCGCUCUAGAUCGAACUCCAAUGAGGUCUCAACAUACAACUUGUCCACCCUGCUAUCCCUGCUUGCCAAGCUUCUUGCCACCACUACCACAACUACAACAACUACAAAAGCACCUACAACAGCAGCUGCUACUACAUAAAAUGGAGUCUUGAACAUCAGCAAAUUUGUCAUGUGUUGAGAAAGUUGUCAUUGUUUUUCUCUCUCAAUUUUCAAUGAUAUUGGAAAUCAGUUUCCAAUAUCAUUGAAACAUGGAUCAAACCUGCUGUCAUGUUUGGUUUUCUGCUCAAUAAAGCUCAGCAAAAAAAAAAAAA